AACGAACGCUGGCGGCAUGCCUAACACAUGCAAGUCGAACGAGACCUUCGGGUCUAGUGGCGCACGGGUGCGUAACGCGUGGGAACCUGCCCUUAGGUUCGGAAUAACUCCCCGAAAGGGGUGCUAAUACCGGAUAAUGUCUUCGGACCAAAGAUUUAUCGCCUUUGGAUGGGCCCGCGUUGGAUUAGCUAGUUGGUAGGGUAAAAGCCUACCAAGGCGACGAUCCAUAGCUGGUCUGAGAGGAUGAUCAGCCACACUGGGACUGAGACACGGCCCAGAUUCCUACGGGAGGCAGCAGUGGGGAAUAUUGGACAAUGGGCGGAAGCCUGAUCCAGCAAUGCCGCGUGAGUGAUGAAGGCCUUAGGGUUGUAAAGCUCUUUUACCCGGGAUGAUAAUGACAGUACCGGGAGAAUAAGCUCCGGCUAACUCCGUG
rnacentral:rRNA from 1 species